UACGUAGGACCCAAGCGUUAUCCGGAUUUACUGGGCGUAAAGAGUUGCGUAGGUGGCAAGUUAAGCAAAUAGUGAAAUUAUCCCGCUCAACGGGAUGCCCAUUAUUUGAACUGGCUAGCUUGAGAGCGAGAGAGGUAGAUGGAAUUGCUAGUGUAGGAGUGAAAUCCGUAGAUAUUAGCAGGAACACCGAUGGCGUAGGCAGUCUACUGGCUCGUUUCUGACACUAAGGCACGAAAGCGUGGGGAGCAAACGGG
rnacentral:rRNA from 1 species